GGUCCCGUAGCUCAGCUGGAUAGAGCAUCUCACUUCUAAUGAGACGGUCACAGGUUCGAAUCCUGUCGGGAUCA
rnacentral:tRNA from 1 species